UUGUGAGAAUUCACUGGGAUGUUUUUGUUGUUGUUCUCUGGAUAAUCAGAGAAUUCUAGCAUCGAUAUUGUUACUCUGUUGUUGUUCCUUCUCUCUGCAGCAAACCUUUUGAUAUUAAAGUCACCACACACGCCACCUGGACCAGCGCAUAUACCCCUGAUUGCGACCAUUCGUUUGCUGUCUUCUGUUGUCAGUUUUCAUGGAUAAGCUUCUGACUGUUUGCUGAGGCGCAUGACAACGUACUCACGACAGUGUUUCCCUCUCUUCCUGAAGCAUUAGGAGAUUGAGAGUGGUUUUCAUGACUGGUCCAAGAGGUGAUAUAAGAGUCCCAGUCAAGAGAGGUCCUACCUAUACUAGGGCCACUUAUUUCCAUUAUCUUGGCCAUAUUAAUCUGUGUUCAGGUUUCCGUCAAACUCGCAGGUGGUGUUCAGCCUUUAAAAGCUGAUGUAUACAUGUUUGGUGUUCUACUUGUGGAGUUGUUUGCCAAAAUCAAAAAGAUUCCCACUCCACACUACUGCUGGAUUCAGGAGCAGCUCCAAGGUGGAAAAAAGUCGAUAGUGGAUAAAUCACUUCUCCAAGAUAAUGAUGAUGAUGAUGAGCUGUUGGCUAAUAGCAUCACGACUAUAGCAGCGAAAUGUCUGGAAAGGGAUCCAGAUGCACGCACAGGUAUGAAGAAUGUCUCUGUAGAAUUGUCCAACUUGUUAGAUGGAGCAAGGAGGGAGCGAGGGACUAAGAGGAAAGCGGGGAGUUGAGUUUAAAGUCUAGUUGCACCGUCGAGGUUGCUGUUCGAAGCCUUGUUCGCGGUUGAGUUUAUUAUUAUUAAAGAUGAUUAGCAGGGGCUUUUCUGUUCUUCUGGUUAUUUUGGUGAUGCUUGUUGGAAAACUAAGCUGUAAAAAGCCACCUAAAAAUGGAUUUGGAUAUAUUAUGAAGUUAUGACGUUCUGGUUUUACAUGUCAGUUCAUUUCCUGAGUUGUAUCUGAAUUUUUGUCCCACUCAAUCCAUUUCUUUGUGUUAAAACCCUACUCUCUGAAUCUCAAGCAUGUAAAAUUCAAUAUUUUGAGCUAAUCGUGGAUUCUUGGUUUUCUUGGUGU